CUCCUACGGGCGGCAGCAGUCGGGAAUUUUGGGCAAUGGGCGAAAGCCUGACCCAGCAACGCCGCGUGAAGGAUGAAGUUUUUCGGAAUGUAAACUUCGUAAGAAUAGGAAGAAUAAAUGACGGUACUAUUUGUAAGGUCCGGCUAACUACGUGCCAGCAGCCGCGGUAAUACGUAGGGACCAAGCGUUGUUCGGAUUUACUGGGCGUAAAGGGCGCGUAGGCGGCAAUUCAAGUCAGCUGUGAAAUCUCCGGGCUUAACUCGGAACGGUCAGCUGAUACUGAUGUGCUAGAGUGCAGAAGGGGCAACCGGAAUUCUUGGUGUAGCGGUGAAAUGCGUAGAUAUCAAGAGGAACACCUGAGGCGAAGGCGGGUUGCUGGGCUGACACUGACGCUGAGGCGCGAAAGCCAGGGGAGCAAACGGGAUUAGAUACCCCGGUAGUC
rnacentral:rRNA from 1 species